rnacentral:tRNA from 1 species
GACUCCGUGGCGCAACGGUAGCGCAACCGCGUCCGACUCCAGAUCGGAAGGUGCGUGUUCAAACAUGUCGGCGUCA